GGUAUAUUUCAUUGGCGAGUGUGUGCGUGCGUGUGCUGUGGCAGCGGCUUUUUUGGCUGCGCUCGGCGUGUGUGCUGUGUGUGCUUGCUGGUGCCCUGUGCUGCGGUGGGACGUCAAGGUCAGUUCGUAUGCUGCGGGAAAUGGCCGCCGAGGAGGUAGGGCUUACGCUUGCGUUUGUCUGCUACAUCUUGGUGGACGAGUAGUCGCGGUUGGGACUGAGGUGCCUACAACGUGUUUUUGAGUGGGCCUGUGUCUCUGUGUGCGCCGUGUGCGGAUAGCUUGCUAUGCGUGUGUGGUUGUGUGUGAAUUGAUGUGGGUUUUAACUUGUUGCCGUUCGGGGCGUUGACGAAAUGGAGCGAUUUGACCCGUCUUGAAACACGGACCAAGGAGUCUAACAUGUGUGCAAGUGUUAGGGUGUGGAAACCCCAGCGCGAAAUGAAAGUGAAGGGCAGCGUAAGUUGUCUGAGGUAGGAAAUGCUGCGGGCUUCGGUCUGCGGUGUGGCACUAUCGACCGAUCAUGAACCUUCGUGGUGAAAGAUUUGAGUUUGAGCACAUAUGUUGGUACCCGAAAGAUGGUGAACUAUGCCUGAGUAGGGUGAAGCCAGGGGAAACUCUGGUGGAAGCUCGUAGCGAUUCUGACGUGCAAAUCGAUCGUCAAACUUGGGUAUAGGGGCGAAAGACUAAUCGAACCAUCUAGUAGCUAUUUCCCUCCGAAAGUUCCCUCAGGAUAGCAGCAACCUAUUUACGAUAGU
rnacentral:rRNA from 1 species